rnacentral:rRNA from 1 species
AGAGUUUGAUCCUGGCUCAGGACGAACGCUGGCGGCGUGCCUAAUACAUGCAAGUCGAGCGAACCACUUCGGUGGUUAGCGGCGGACGGGUGAGUAACACGUGGGCAACCUGCCUGUAAGACUGGGAUAACUUCGGGAAACCGGAGCUAAUACCGGAUAAUCCUUUUCCUCUCAUGAGGGAAAGCUGAAAGACGGUUUCGGCUGUCACUUACAGAUGGGCCCGCGGCGCAUUAGCUAGUUGGUGAGGUAACGGCUCACCAAGGCGACGAUGCGUAGCCGACCUGAGAGGGUGAUCGGCCACACUGGGACUGAGACACGGCCCAGACUCCUACGGGAGGCAGCAGUAGGGAAUCUUCCACAAUGGACGAAAGUCUGAUGGAGCAACGCCGCGUGAGCGAUGAAGGCCUUCGGGUCGUAAAGCUCUGUUGUUAGGGAAGAACAAGUACCGGAGUAACUGCCGGUACCUUGACGGUACCUAACCAGAAAGCCACGGCUAACUACGUGCCAGCAGCCGCGGUAAUACGUAGGUGGCAAGCGUUGUCCGGAAUUAUUGGGCGUAAAGCGCGCGCAGGCGGUCCUUUAAGUCUGAUGUGAAAGCCCACGGCUCAACCGUGGAGGGUCAUUGGAAACUGGGGGACUUGAGUACAGAAGAGGAAAGCGGAAUUCCACGUGUAGCGGUGAAAUGCGUAGAGAUGUGGAGGAACACCAGUGGCGAAGGCGGCUUUCUGGUCUGUAACUGACGCUGAGGCGCGAAAGCGUGGGGAGCAAACAGGAUUAGAUACCCUGGUAGUCCACGCCGUAAACGAUGAGUGCUAAGUGUUAGGGGGUUUCCGCCCCUUAGUGCUGCAGCUAACGCAUUAAGCACUCCGCCUGGGGAGUACGGCCGCAAGGCUGAAACUUAAAGGAAUUGACGG